ensembl:lncRNA
AAGGUAGUUACUGUACUCAUCUAUGUAUAAAAUUAGGAUGUUAGAACCAUGGACUUUGUACUUUUCCCAGCCCUAGGAUGCUCGAACUCUGGGAAGGCAGGAGUGGGAACAGAGGGUUCUGAGCACAUCAUUUGGGCCUAUUUGGUAGCUGAGUAAAUAAGAUUGAUGGCAGCAUCCUCUGCUUCUGUUAAGCUUCAGAGGCUUGUUUGUGAGAUAUAGGUUUGGGAGCCGCACCAAUGCAGAAAUAGAGGAAUGAAGGAACAUCAACAAUAGGCUAGUCAUCUUCACCCUGAGGAAAAUGUGUGGCCAGGAAGGGUAUAAAAUCACCAGGGACAACAUCCCAAAUCUUGGUCAUGGGUCCGAAAAACUCCAAAUGUGUUGAAAAAUAGGGCAGUUAGACCCAAUUACUGUAAGACUGUCAUGCUGUGGGCUGGACAGCAUCACUGCCAUUUUCAUGACAAGAAAACAAGGGUGGAAAGGUUCAGCCACAUUACUGAGGUUGGCUGCUUAAUAAGUGGCUGAUCCUGGGAUGCAGAUUUUGUCUGUUUGACUCCCACACUCAAGUUGUUGUAUGCUACUUUUCUUUUCUCUCAAUAAUUCUUCUGGAGGUGUUAAGGUUUAAAAAACCAGGCUUUUAUUGACCUGAGUGCCAAGCCUUGACAGACCAUUAAGAAAAGUAAGAAAAAAACAUGGCACUGAAUAAGAAGUUUGAAGUUUAUUACAUUAGUUAUCAUCCAAAUAGGUUUUGGAAAUCACUUAUCUAAUUAGCCAUUAUGAUUAUUAGUCAGUUGUUUCUAUGGAGACAACUCUAUCUUAUUACUCAAAAUAGACAUUCAUUUAUGUGCUUAUUUCUGUACAGUCUAGACAGCAGCAUCACAGUUCUGGCAACAGGAGGAAGAUUCCUGUUCUUUCAGUGUGACGUCUGUUGGUUACCCUGAGUCCUGUCUUGUUAAUACUCAAACUGGACCACCUCUGGCUCAGCCCUCAUCAAUUUCAUAGUUGCAGAGCAGUGGCUCUCAAACGUGGCUGCACAUUGGAAUCCUUUGGAAGUGACUGUCCACUCCCAGAACAUCAAAGCCUGGGAGGGUGAGACCCAUGUAUCUGUAUUCUUAAAAUUCCUCAUGUGUUUCUAAUGGACAUGUAAGUUUGAGUGCCAAAGGCUCUUAGUGUAAUCAGUUGUGAGAAUUUCUAGGCAAAUACGCAUAAAAUUCUCUCUCCACAGACAUGCCAGAACAUGAAACAGUGAUUCUCAAACUAGGUUGUACACUAGAAUCACCUGUGGAGGCGGGGCUUAAAAACCAGAUGGUGCCUGGGUCCCAUUCUCACCAGAUGUUAUUAAAUAGCCUCUGAAGAGGGCUUCUCAAACAUCAGUAUUUUUAAAAAGCCCUCCCAGGUCAUGCUAAUAUGCAAUUGGGUUUUGAACCACUGAUUCACACCUACUAAUCUUUGGAGGAGGCCUAAGGCCCAAGUUUAUUAUGUUUCCACAACAUUAAUUUCCAGUAAGUCCUGAUGUUUUUUACCAAACAUCUUCCAGGUUCUGACAUUAAGAGUUGAAUAGGGAAAAAUUCAAUUUAAAUAAGAUUUUCCAGCAGCACAGGGUGAACAUCUUGCCAGCCUGAGUUACUGAAUACUGAUGCUAGCAUUUAAUGAAGCAGCAGCAUAAGGAUAUCUGUGAGGGGCAGGGAGGUCUAGUUUAGUUGAUCUCUGGCCUGUUUCCUACAAUUUGGAGCCUUAUUUCCCUCAUAGAAAUGAAGGGUUUAAAACAACAACAACAACAACAACAAAUCAUUGACCAUAUUGGUACAUUAAACAUACUCAAUCUGCUUAAUAAUGUAAAAUAGCAUGCUUGUAUUAACUUUUCAAUAGUAAGCAGCUAUCCAUAAAUUGAAUUUCUUCCCAUUAUUUCAGCCCACUGGUAAUUCUUUCUGCUUCUAGUGUGUGUAGCUUGCCUGUUUAUUCCCUUUCUUCCCUCUUCAGAUUGCAAUAGUGCUGAGUCCGUGGUGGCCCCUUCAUCAUAAUGAGAGAGAAGUUUUCUAAUGACUCAUCUUUCUAAAUAAAACCUAAAAUGUUUACUGCAAAGAUGCCAGGCACAUAUUAUGCAUCACUGUUCUAUACAAUAAUAUAAUUCAGAUAGAAAUUAUCUUUGCAAAUGGCAAUCAAUUUUUGCUACUACUUCUUGCUUUCUUGUCAGUCUGGUCAGUGGGCUGUGGAAGAGUGCUUUUACUUGAUUGCUUACACUCUUGAUAAUCAUUGUGGUUUUUGGCAGCGUUGAGGCAUUAUUUCACAGAUCUGCAUUGCAAUGGGGAAUGGGUGUAACUUUAAAAUACAGCCAAAGUUCCUGUGGCUUUAGCUGACACCGAAGAAUGUACAAACUCAAGCACAAUUCUUACAAGAUUUCAUUCUUUUACAGUGGUUUGCCACGGGCCCAUCCACAUGUGGAGACAGAGUAAGCAAAGAUGGAACCAUGGAGGUCUAAGGUUCCCUUGAACCUCAAGGAAUCUCUUGCUGUGUAGGCCUCUGGGAACAACCUAUGUGUCUCACCCAAGGCCCAGGACACACAUCCUUCCACUUGGAACUUUGAGUUUGAAAGGGAGGAAACAUAUUAAAAAAAACCUUAUAUAUAUAUUUCAAAAACUCAUCAUGCCACUCUGCUAUCUUCCAAGGCAGAGAGAUCCGCUCUUGCAGGCUGAAUGCUUUAUUUGGAUCUAAAUGUUGAUAAAGAAAUGAAAGGAACAGAGACAUGAAAUGUGGCAGAUACCUUUUUGGAAGUGGCAUUAUAAGAAUAAGGAAGGAUGCAUGGAAACAGAAAGAGCUAUAUUAAAUGUUUGCUUUAUCACUUUUUGCCAACUCCUAUCCUUGACUUUUAAAAUUUCUAAACAUUUCAAACAAAUCAGCUAUGCCAUGGUUGAAUGCUCUUGGAAGAAAAUGACUCUGAUUUGUCCAAAACCACCCCAGCAGGCAACCCAAGGACUAGAACUGGUUAAAUUUCUUAAAAAAUCAACAAGAGUAUCAGUUAUAAACAGGAACACCUGUCUUGCUAGAACCUAAACUAAGACCUCUGAUUUCUUUUACAUAAGGCAUUGAACAGCUGUCAGAUAUGUGAACAAAUUUUGUACGCUUGAGUACUAUGACUUUGAACCAGUGACCUGGAGGUCCAUUGUCUCUAUUAUCACUCCCUUGAGCCACUUGCUAUGGCAAGCUGCAGAGUUAUUUUAGAAAAUGGCAUCACCCAGUUUGGGUACUCCACCAGUCUGUGUUCAAAAUUAUCAGUAUUUUUCUGGUUCAAGUUACAGUUACUUCUGAUUGCUUUUGGUCUUGAUAUCCCCAUCCCAUUUAGUGACACUACCGUCUACCAAGUCACUAAAAUCAGAAAUUGUCAUUAUCUUUUAGUUGGUAAGCCUCGCUGAUCUACUGUGCCUCGUGAAGCCUUCGUCUUAUCUGUUGCUGUCACCUGACUUUAGGAUUCUCCUUGAAUAGCUAAGGAGCCUUUUAGCUCAUCCCCCACAUACCCAUUCUUCACUUUCUGCCAUAUUUUCAUCUUAAGCCAGAGAUCAUGUCUCAUUGCAAUGUCAAGUUUUUCUGUGGCUCCUCAAUUAUGUGAUGAUUCCCUGUGUUAUUUCUCACCCCAGUUAUUUCCUAAGAGUUCUCUGGCAGCUCUACCUCCUGACUCAUGCACUUCCCAACUCAGGCACCUGCCCCUCUCAACACCAGCUCUGCUAGGCCACUUUCCCCCCACUUUUUUUGGCUGUGCCUGCAGCAUGCGGAACUUUCCAGGCCAGGGAUUGAAUCCACACCACUGCAGUGACAACACUGGAUCCUUAACCUACUGAGCCACCAGGGGACUGCCUUUCCUUCUAAUAACAUAUGUAAGCUCCAUCCAUGUUGCUCCUGCUGUUUGCUCUGCAUACAGUUCCCUUCCUCUUUUUCUUGAGCUAUCAUAGUUCACUCCUGUUGCGAGACCCAAGCAAAAGUCCCUGUUAUAGAAAUCUUUUCUGCCUUGAGAGAGGGCAUACUCCUUCUUUUGUUCCUUUAACACUUAGUGUAUCUGUUGUUUACACUCCUCUGCAGGCCCAUGCAUUCCACAAAUAGUUGUGCACUUAUGUGGUAAUAACAUGAGUUCCCUGUGAACUGGACCUCUGUUCACCCUUAUUUUCCCAGUAUUUAGCACUGUCAUCUGCCCAUGGUAGGUGCUCCAUCAAUGUUAGGUUGAAUUAGGAUUAUGGAGCAGCCUUUCUGCAUGGUAGCUCAUGGGAAGUACUGUUGAUUGGGUAACGGAGAUUCGUGCCCAGUUACCUAUCAGGUCUGCCAUUGUGUGUUUCAUGGGUUGAUCUGUAUGCCCCUCAGGUUCCUUGUGAGCUUAAACAUCGAGAAUAGCUUAAAAGUGGACAACUAUUUCUCUCCUGUGCUAUUUGCUCAGUCUGGCCUCUUGAUUAACUCCCAUGCCUUCUAAUCUCUUCCUCCUGUUAUUCUCACCUUUGCUUGUGUAUCUGUGCUGUCACAGCCACUCCAAAGGCCAGCAUUGUCUUCACUUUCCCAUCUGGAUUCUCUUUUGCUGAAAUUCUCUAAGACUUGAGAAUAUCUUUUUCACUAUUCACCUUUUUAUUACAUACAGUUUUAUACUGUUUGCUGGUUAUUUGUCUUGGUAAAUUUUUUUUUUUGCUCCAUUCAGCUGAAAACUGCUUUAGUGUAGCUUGAUGUUGUUGCCAGCAGAGGCAUUCCAGUGCCUCUCCUGGAGGCCCUGGCUGUGCCAUACCAAACUAACUGUGGGCAAGUUUAAAAAAAUGCUAAACCUUAAAUAUAAAGUGGGAAAAAUAAUAGUGCCUAUCUCUAGAAAAUAGAGAAAAUGUAUUUGAAACUCUUUGUGCCUGACAAACAUAAGCCUGAGUAUGCGAUAGUUAUUAUUUUCAAGAACAGUUUUGAUCAGAACCUGUUGAAACUAAUUUAUUUUCCACCCAAAGCCUACAUAAUGACUGAUACUUUGAGGUCUAUCUCAUGUCAUUGGAUAAUUAUGAUUGGUUUAGCACAAAGUCACACUCUGCAAGGUUCUUGGAACCAUUCUUCCACCAUGAGUACAGAGAAGCCAAGGCAGGCACUGACAUUGUGGUCUGUUCAGCAAUGUCUUGUGGCCCGAAUGAACCAUGAGGGCUUAUGAAUUGUCCUAAAACACAAAAUGUGAUUUGUUAGACCUUAACUAAUAAACGGAGUGUAUUUUUGGUGCCAUCAUACCCAGACUAUAAGGUCAUUGAAAUAAAUCUGAGGCAUAUCUCCUGAAAGAUGUCUACUCAUUCCUCUGC